ACCUGUUCCUUGGAGAGCAAUCUUGUCUUCAGGACCGGAUUGGGAUCUAGCUAUCACACAUUUCGGAAACAGUUGAGGCUAUUACACUCUCCUUACAGAGCUUCCCAAAUACUUCUCAAACAUUUUGCAUUUUGAUCUUAAAAAAAAUGGAGGUCUCUCUGCCCUUCCCUACGCGACGCAAGCAGCUUGCGGUAUGAUUGCUUGUUUACAGCUGACAAACUGAGACAACACUCCAAUUUACGCAUUACCACCAUUCGGAAGAUCGUCAAUUCUGUUGCAUUCUACGGUCCCGGCUGGCUGUCGCGUUUGUGGGUUGCAACCUUGCAGUCAUUGUAGCUCUGCUCGCUUUCUCGGUGGGUUUCAACGGGUUCAUCUUCUCGGGAUUCAACGUGAUCGACGUUGACUUUAGCCCAGAAUUCGCAGCAAACAUUGAAAAACCGGAGUACCGUUUUCGUGACCACAUCAAUUGUUUACUUCAUCACGGGAAGCAUGUACAACUACUUUGGAUCAGCUGAACUGCAGCCAUGGGGAUCUUCAGCCAGAAACAUGGAGCCUGAAACAAUUCUCCAAGACCCUGAAGCCGAAGAACCCGAAAAUAAUAAACCAAUGUCAUACCCAUAAACAGUUUGAUUGCAUUUUCGGUAGAAGGUCCGAUGCUACACUCUGGGGGAGCGAUUAAAAGAGUUUGCUGCUUUUUAUUUCGAAAAAGAACUGAAAACACUGCACAGUUCACCGUGUAACAGUUACUGUAAAAUGGACUGUUUAGUAGCUGUUUUUAAAUGCUGACUUGAAGUUGCCGAGCUCUCGUCCUACCUUUUAAUUCUGUGCAAUAUAAUAUAUUCUAAAAGUAUUGUGAUGCUAUGAAAUAAAAACUAGAAGUGCAACAGUCUCUCUAAAGCGACUGCUUAAGAAGCUGCUUUUGGGUACUGAUUUGAAGUCUUCGAACACUCUCGUUCUACCUUUUAAAUUUGGUGCAAUAUAACAAGUGCAAGA